UACGGAGGGUGCAAGCGUUAUCCGGAUUUACUGGGUUUAAAGGGUGUGUAGGCGGGCUUUUAAGUCAGCGGUGAAAUCUCCGGGCUCAACCCGGAAACUGCCAUUGAUACUAUUAGUCUUGAAUUCUGUUGAGGUAGGCGGAAUAAGUCAUGUAGCGGUGAAAUGCAUAGAUAUGACUUAGAACACCAAUUGCGAAGGCAGCUUGCUUAAACAGAAUAUUGACGCUGAGGCACGGAAAGCGUG
rnacentral:rRNA from 1 species